AGAAUCAACGCUGGCGGCGUGCCUAACACAUGCAAGUCGCACGAGAAAGGGGAGCAAUCCCUGAGUACAGUGGCGCACGGGUGAGUAACACGUGAAUAAUCUACCUCCGAGUGGGGAAUAACUGAGAGAAAUCUUAGCUAAUACCGCAUAACACUUACGAGUCAAAGGAGCAAUUCGCUCGAGGAGGGGGUCGCGGCCGAUUAGUUAGUUGGCGGGUAAUGGCCCACAAGACGAUGAUCGGUA
rnacentral:rRNA from 1 species